UACGGGGGGAGCAAGCGUUGUUCGGAUUUACUGGGCGUAAAGGGCGCGUAGGCGGCCACCGCAAGUCGGUUGUGAAAUCUCUGGGCUUAACCCAGAAAGGUCAGCCGAUACUGCGGGCUAGAGUGCAGAAGGGGCAACUGGAAUUCUCGGUGUAGCGGUGAAAUGCGUAGAUAUCGAGAGGAACACCUGCGGCGAAGGCGGGUUGCUGGGCUGACACUGACGCUGAUGCGCGAAAGCUAGGGAGCGAACGGG
rnacentral:rRNA from 1 species